GCCGUGGUGGUGGAAUUGGUAGACACGCAUGAUUCAGGUUCAUGUGGGCAAUAAGCCUGUGGGGGUUCGAGUCCCCCCCUCGGCA
rnacentral:tRNA from 1 species